CUUCACAGCCAGUGGCACAGGGCGGCUGGUGCUGAGAAUCACCUGGAACAGGUCAUCCACAAACUUCUGCAGUGUACCCUGCGGGAAGACAAGGCAGCUCAGAGCCCAGGGUAUUCAGACGCCUCCACAGACCCUGGAUCUCGGAAGUGACAUCCUCAUCAGAAAGGACGAGGUGCCCGGCCACUCCGGACCGCCAUUCUGCAAGGACAAGAGAGGACCUGGCUCAGGGCUUUCAGCAUCCUCUUUCUGCCACGCAGCCCAUCCCAUCCUAGGAGACAAGGCCCCUCCAUCCUCUCCAAAGAGCUAGACCAGAACCCUCUCCAGGUGAAAGGUCAUCUGGUAAUGUUCCAGAGCCAGGUUUUGUAGCAACUUCCAACAUCCCACCUGCCCUCACAGCACCAAUCUUGGGCUAUCUCAGGGUCCUCACGCCACCUUGCUCCCGCCCUCACCAACAUCCAAGGUGCGAGAGUCUGGUCGCUGGGCAAGGGGCAGUCCCUUAUACAGCUGGUCAAGCAUCUUCUCCUUGGCCUGAGAGAUGGUGUCACAGUCCAGGACUUUCACGGGUAUACCCUGGGCUUCUCCUGCCCCAGGCCCCACAGCCAGAAGAGCAUUUAAAGUCUACACAAGAAAUGCGAGUGAUUUCAGGACUGGUUCCACAGGCAGGAUGACGGUCAAGGGCAGGGACAAGACUGCAGGCUCUGAGGCCAGCCCAGCACCAUGCAGUCCUUACCUCCUCCCCCGUCUGCCUCCCUGCUUGAUGCAAAUGCUCACAGGGAGAAUGGGAGAAUCCCCAAAUGAGCACAUAACCCUCCAUGUCUCAAAUAGUCUCCCCCUGAUGUGUUAGCUGUUCAGCAGACUAGCCGGGAGUGGGUGACAGGGAAGCUCCAGGCAGGCCUGCCUGCCAAGUGGCUGACUUAUGGGACAAGAUUGCAUCCCUAGUGAGACGGCAAGAAAGCUACUCCGACCCAACACGGAUCGUAAGUCAGGACCCUCUGAGACUCCCACCUCAAUCCUUCCACGCUAGGGUUGUGGCUCAGUGCUGGAAGAACGCUUGCUAAUGUAUGUGAGGCCAUGCGUUCCCACUACAAUAAAUGAAUAAACAGCCCCUCCAGCAGGCA